rnacentral:rRNA from 1 species
AACGAACGCUGGCGGCAUGCCUAACACAUGCAAGUCGAACGAGACCUUCGGGUCUAGUGGCGCACGGGUGCGUAACGCGUGGGAACCUGCCCUUAGGUUCGGAAUAACUCCCCGAAAGGGGUGCUAAUACCGGAUAAUGUCUUCGGACCAAAGAUUUAUCGCCUUUGGAUGGGCCCGCGUUGGAUUAGCUAGUUGGUAGGGUAAAAGCCUACCAAGGCGACGAUCCAUAGCUGGUCUGAGAGGAUGAUCAGCCACACUGGGACUGAGACACGGCCCAGACUCCUACGGGAGGCAGCAGUGGGGAAUAUUGGGCAAUGGGCGAAAGCCUGAUCCAGCAAUGCCGCGUGAGUGAUGAAGGCCUUAGGGUUGUAAAGCUAUUUUACCCGGGAUGAUAAUGACAGUACCGGGAGAAUAAGCUCCGGCUAACUCCGUG